rnacentral:rRNA from 1 species
CGAACGGGUGAGUAAUGCGUGACCAACCUGCCCCAUGCUCCAGAAUAGCUCUUGGAAACGGGUGGUAAUGCUGGAUGCUCCAACUUGACGCAUGUCUUGUUGGUAAAGUGUUUAGUGGCAUGGGAUGGGGUCGCGUCCUAUCAGCUUGUAGGCGGGGUAAUGGCCCACCUAGGCUUCGACGGGUAGCCGGCCUGAGAGGGCGGACGGCCACAUUGGGACUGAGAUACGGCCCAGACUCCUACGGGAGGCAGCAGGC